AUUAACGUUGGCUGUGCGCCUAACACAUGCAAGUCGAGCGAUAUAGCGGCAGACGAGAGAGUAAUAGUAAGGAACUUACCCCCGAGUGAAGGAUAGCCAGCCGAAAGGUUGGGUAAUCCUGCAUAAUAUCGAAAGAUCAAAGCCUUCGGGCGCUUGGGGAGAGGCCUUACUCCUAUCAGCUUGUUGGUGAGGUAAUGGCUCACCAAGGCGAUGACGGGUAGCUGGUCUGAGAGGAUGAUCAGCCUCGAUGGGACUGAGACACGGCCCAUACUCCUACGGGAGGCAGCAGUUGGGGAUUUUGCACAAUGGGCGAAAGCCUGAUGCAGCGACACAGCGUGAAGGAUGAAGGUUUUCGGAUCGUAAACUUCUUUUAUCAGGGAGUAAUCUUGAAAGUACCUGAUGAAUAAGGACCGGCUAACUACGU
rnacentral:rRNA from 1 species